UACAGAGGUCCCAAGCGUUGUUCGGAUUCAUUGGGCGUAAAGGGUGCGUAGGCGGCGCGGUAAGUCGGGUGUGAAAUCUCGGAGCUUAACUCCGAAACUGCAUUCGAUACUGCCGUGCUUGAGGACUGGAGAGGAGACUGGAAUUUACGGUGUAGCGGUGAAAUGCGUAGAUAUCGUAAGGAAGACCAGUGGCGAAGGCGGCGCUCUGGGCCGGUACUGACGCUGAGGAGCGAAAGCGUGGGGGAGCAAACAGG
rnacentral:rRNA from 1 species